AACGAACGCUGGCGGCAUGCCUAACACAUGCAAGUCGAACGAGAUCUUCGGGUCUAGUGGCGCACGGGUGCGUAACGCGUGGGAAUCUGCCCUUUGGUUCGGAAUAACAGUUGGAAACGACUGCUAAUACCGGAUGAUGACGAAAGUCCAAAGAUUUAUCGCCAGAGGAUGAGCCCGCGUAGGAUUAGCUAGUUGGUGUGGUAAAGGCGCACCAAGGCGACGAUCCUUAGCUGGUCUGAGAGGAUGAUCAGCCACACUGGGACUGAGACACGGCCCAGACCCCUAGGGGAGGCAGCAGGGGGGAAUAUGGGAAAAUGGGCGAACGCCUAAUCCAGCAAGCCCGCGUGAGUGAUGAAGGCUUUAGGGUUGAAAAGCUCUUUUCCCCGGGAUGAUAAUGACAGUACCGGGAGAAUAAGCUCCGGCUAACUCCGUGCCAGCCGCCGCAAUAA
rnacentral:rRNA from 1 species